AUUGAACGCUGGCGGCAUGCUUUACACAUGCAAGUCGAACGGUAACAGGUUAAGCUGACGAGUGGCGAACGGGUGAGUGAUGCAUCGGAACGUGCCCGGUCGUGGGGGAUAACGCAGCGAAAGCUGCGCUAAUACCGCAUACGAUCUGAGGAUGAAAGCGGGGGACCGUAAGGCCUCGCGCGAUCGGAGCGGCCGAUGUCAGAUUAGGUAGUUGGGGGGGUAAAGGCUCACCAAGCCAACGAUCUGUAGCUGGUCUGAGAGGACGACCAGCCACAGUGGGACUGAGACACGGCCCAGACUCCUACGGGAGGCAGCAGUGGGGAAUUUUGGACAAUGGGCGAAAGCCUGAUCCAGCAAUGCCGCGUGCAGGAAGAAGGCCUUCGGGUUGUAAACUGCUUUUGUACGGAGCGAAAAGGUCUCCUCUAAUACAGGGGGCUCAUGACGGUGCCGUAAGAAUAAGCACCGGCUAACUACGUGCCAGCCGCCGCCGUAA
rnacentral:rRNA from 1 species